AUAUAACAGAACAAACUCGCAAUGAAGAAGGCCUAGAAAUACACAACAGGCAGAAGUAGAAAAUGUUAUGGUUUAGGUACAAGAGCAUCAUAGCAAUACAGAAUGGGAAUCUAAAUACAUAUAUAAACAAUUCAAAACUAGACUGUAAGCUUUGAGCAGGGUCCUCUUCAUCCUAUUGUUCCUGUAAGUUUUUGUAAUUGUCUCAUUUAUUGUUAAAUCUCACCCUCUUAUAAUAUUGUAAUGUGCUGCGGAAUUUGUUGGCGCUAUAUAAAUGCCAAUAAUAACUAAAUCAGGUGAAUGACUAAAAAAAAAUGUGGAGGAAAAAAAGUGAAAAGCCACUGCAAGACCAAAGACCACCAUCCGAUAACUGCUCCUCCCACAGAGAGAAUAUGGUUUCUUAAUCAAAAAGUAUUUUGACACGUUUAUUCACUGAAGUGAGUUGUUGGCAAUGCAAAGUAAUUUUUUUAUUUCAGGCCAAUAUAGGCUAGUGGAUUUGAAGAUUUUUUUUUUUUUGUCUCUUUCAGAUCGAAGUCAUCACAAUUUACACAUUAGUGAUCAAUUCGAUUUAGAGAUUUAAAAAAAACCCAAUAUUUUACAAUUAGAAAUGUUCAG